rnacentral:rRNA from 1 species
UUAGCCCUACGGGACGCAGCAGUGGGGGCUAUUGCACAAUGGGGGAAACCCUGAUGCAGCGACGCCGCGUGAGUGAAGAAGUAUUUCGGGACGUAAAGCUCUAUCAGCAGGGAAGAAUAAUGACGGUACCUGACUAAGAAGCCCCGGCUAACUACGUGCCAGCAGCCGCGGUAAUACGUAGGGGGCAAGCGUUAUCCGGAUUUACUGGGUGUAAAGGGAGCGUAGACGGCUGUGCAAGUCUGAAGUGAAAUGCCGGGGCUCAACCCCGGACCUGCUUUGGAAACUGUACAGCUAGAGUGCAGGAG